rnacentral:rRNA from 1 species
CAUUCGCAAUGGGCGAAAGCCUGACGAUGCGACGCCGUGUGAGCGAUGAAGGCCUUAGGGUUGUAAAGCUCUUUCGCUUGGGAACAAGAAAGGUACAAUAAUAUUGUGCCGAUUUGAGGGUACCAGGUAAAGAAGCACCGGCUAACUCCGUGCCAGCAGCUGCGGUAAUACGGAGGGUGCAAGCAUUAAUCGGAUUUAUUGGGCGUAAAGGGCGCGUAGGCGAAACAUAAGGUAGAUGUUAAGAUCGGGGCUAACCUCGAAAGGCAUUAAUACUGUGAUCAAGGGAGCGAGAAAAGAUUCCACAAGAGCGGUAAAUGCGAAAUGUGAGAAUCCGGUGCAAGCGGUUUCUGUUUUCCUGCGAGGGCAGUCGGAAUU